rnacentral:rRNA from 1 species
CCUUGUACACACCGCCCGUCACACCAUGGGAGUUGGCUUUACCUGAAGACGGUGCGCUAACCCGCAAGGGGGGCAGCCGGCCACGGUAGGGUCAGCGACUGGGGUGAAGUCGUAAACAAGGUACC